UGGGGAAUAUUGGACAAUGGGCGAAAGCCUGAUCCAGCCAUGCCGCGUGUGUGAAGUAGGUCUUCGGAUUGUAAAGCACUUUAAGUUGGGAGGAAGGGCAGUAAGCGAAUACCUUGCUGUUUUGACGUUACCGACAGAAUAAGCACCGGCUAACUCUGUGCCAGCAGCCGCGGUACUACAGAGGGUGCAAGCGUUACUCGGAAUUACUGGGCGUAAAGCGCGCGUAGGUGGUUCGUUAAGUUGAAUGUGAAAGCCUCGGGCUCAACCUGGGAACUGCAUCAAAGACUGGCGAGCUAGAGUAGGGCAGAGGGUGGUGGAAUUUCCUGUGUAGCGGUGAAAUGCGUAGAUAGAGGAAGGAACACCAGAGGCGAAGGCGACCACCUGGGCUCAUACUGACACUGAGAUGCGAAAGCGUGGGGAGCAAACAGU
rnacentral:rRNA from 1 species